GAAUGCAAGUUACUUUUGGAGUUUAAUUUGGCUUGUCACCAUGAAAUUUGAAGACUAUAAAAGAAAGGGAAGUUUUCGUAGGUUUGUUUCUUUUUAUUUUCUUUUUCCUUAAAUUUGAUAGUAACUUCUUUGAAAUAUUAUUAUGUGAUACUUCUUUGUUCAUGAUGCAACUUUCAGAAAACCAAAUGAAUGGAUGAGUGUUGCUGUAAAGAUCAUAAUCAGUAUUGAUUUUGGGUUCUCCAUUGGAGUAUCAUUUAAGGAUAUUUCACCACCAAAGGUAUGUAUUUUUUUGGGCAUAUAUCGUGUGAUUUGACUUUUAAGAGUAUAAGUAGUUGUAUUUUAAUUCAAUUUUUCAAGAAGUUGUGUAGACGAUAUUGGUAACUAGAUUUUUUUUUUUUUUUAACUAUAAUAUUCCAUUCCAAACAUUAGGGCAAAUUACAUAAGGAUAGCAGGUAGACGAGCAAAAAACUAGAUUGAACUUUAUAAAGUUUCUUUAUUGUUUCUGGCUUUUUCACCACCAAGGUACAUACUUGAUAUUUCAACUUAUAUCCCAAAAAGUCUGUUCUUGACUUUUGAGAGUCAAAGUAGCUAUACUUAUUAUUGGGCAUGUGGUAUCUUUGACUUUUAGUUGAAUUCAUAGGUGGUAUGCUAAAAGAUUCUUGCAUCCGUAUAUUGUUGCACCGUAUGACUUCAUAUUUAUAUGGGAUGAAGAUCUUGGAGUUGAGAAUUUUGAUGCUGAAGAAUACAUCAAACUUGUGAAGAAGUACAAAUUGGAGAUAUCAUAGCCCUGCUUGGAUUUAAAAAGUGAGGGUUUGACAUGGGAUAUGACCCAGAGACAAGAAGAACUUGAAGUUCACAAGCAAGUGAAUUGAGUGAAAUUGGAUCAAAGGACACAGAACAAAAGUAUGAGGAAAGUGUCAAGAAAAUUGAGCAAGAUGAAGAGAUUGAAGAAACCAAGCCGGAUGUAGAAAUUGAAAAAAGGAGCAAAAUGGGUUAUUACAAGCAAUCACCCCCGAUUCUUGCGCCUCAACAGAAACAAUACCUCAAGUAGAGACGACAGAACAUGAAGAAAGGAGAAAGUUGUCAACGUAUUAGAAAAAGAUCAAGAUGAGGAUGACGUUACACGCGCACAGGAGGUGACGGUUGAAGGAGGCUUACAAGAAAAAACCCACCACAAUGACGAUAGUGAGAGUUAAGUUGUUGAAGCUAAAGAAAGUGUAGAGGAAGAUGUUGCUGAUGUUUGUGUCUCAACACUUGUCAAAGAAAGUACAAAUAUUCAGUUCCAUUAAGUAUGAUCUUUUGUUUUGUUCAUUUUAAUGUUUGGUUAUUUGUAGUGUUUGGAUAAUGUGUUGAGAAUGAGUUUUAGUGGUUUGAAAAGAAGAAAAGGAAAAGUUAGA